rnacentral:rRNA from 1 species
CUACUAUGUUCAGAGUUUGAUCCUGGCUCAGGAUGAACGCUAGCUACAGGCUUAACACAUGCAAGUCGAGGGGCAGCACAGAGAUAGCUUGCUAUCUUGGGUGGCGACCGGCGCACGGGUGCGUAACGCGUAUCGAACCUGCCCUAUACUCAGGGAUAGCCUUGCGAAAGUAAGAUUAAUACCUGAUGUUGUUAUUUAUUCGCAUGUUUGAAUAACGAAAGAUUUAUUGGUAUAGGAUGGCGAUGCGUGGCAUUAGGUAGUAGGCGGGGUAACGGCCCACCUAGCCGACGAUGCCUAGGGGUUCUGAGAGGAAGGUCCCCCACACUGGAACUGAGACACGGUCCAG